UACGUAGGGUGCGAGCGUUGUCCGGAAUUAUUGGGCGUAAAGAGCUUGUAGGCGGUCUGUCGCGUUUGCUGUGAAAAUCCGGGGCUCAACCCCGGACUUGCAGUGGGUACGGGCAGACUAGAGUGUGGUAGGGGAGACUGGAAUUCCUGGUGUAGCGGUGAAAUGCGCAGAUAUCAGGAGGAACACCGGUGGCGAAGGCGGGUCUCUGGACCGAUACUGACGCUGAGGAGCGAAAGCGUGGGGAGCGAACAGG
rnacentral:rRNA from 1 species